rnacentral:rRNA from 1 species
GACGAACGCUGGCGGCGUGCUUAACACAUGCAAGUCGAACGGAAAGGCCCUGCUUUUGUGGGGUGCUCGAGUGGCGAACGGGUGAGUAACACGUGAGUAACCUGCCCUUGACUUUGGGAUAACUUCAGGAAACUGGGGCUAAUACCGGAUAGGAGCUCCUGCUGCAUGGUGGGGGUUGGAAAGUUUCGGCGGUUGGGGAUGGACUCGCGGCUUAUCAGCUUGUUGGUGGGGUAGUGGCUUACCAAGGCUUUGACGGGUAGCCGGCCUGAGAGGGUGACCGGCCACCUUGGGACUGGAGUACGGCCCAGGCUCCUACGGGGAGCAACCGUGGGGGAUAUUGGACAAUGGGGGGAAGCCUGGUGCAACAACGCCGCGGGCGGGAUGACGGCCUUCGGGUUGUAAACCGCUUUCGCCUGUGACGAAGCGUGAGUGACGGUAAUGGGUAAAGAAGCACCGGCUAACUACGUG